CGAUUUUCGUACAUGUACGUGACAUGUAGCUCGAGACGCACUCCAUUGAAAAUGUAUAGGUGGCGCUAUCGAGCCAUUUUGCCACACCCAAUGGAAUAUUGGCCUCCAGAUGUGUGCAGGUCAGUACUCUUAUCAAACAUGUGAAGUUUGGGCAAGAUCUGAUAUUUUAUGCCUGAGUUACAACAACUUCUACUCCCAUGGCGAGACAUCAAACUUUGACAUGGCGCCAUGGACAUGCCCUUUAACGAAAACUCAAGAUCUUCACAAUUUAACAUCGUACAGGCCUUUAGAUUAGACUGACCACAAAAAAGACAUUGAUGUCAUAAAAUUUCUAGGAGUAGUUCUUCGCAGCGUAAAAUAUGACACUUCCUGUUGCCAAUAGGUGGCGCUAUGAAUAUAACUGAAUAUGGGCAUGUCAAUCUAUUCAGUUUCAGAGUCUUAUCAACCAUGUGAAGUUUGGGGCAGAUUGGACAUUGUAUGUCUGAUGUCAACUUCAUUUUUCAUGGCGAAUCAUCGAAAUUCGCCAGCCCGUCCGCACCCGCAAAACUCUGACAAUUUAUUCCUGCACAAUAAUAGAGAUGCAUUGAUUUUGUGUCUUCUCCGGUCCCUCAGGAAAAAAAACAAACAAACAGGUAUUUGUAUUGAUAUUAUUAAAGAGAUUCAUGGGGUUGUUUGUUUCGUUUCCCUGGCCUGCAUGUAAAAAAAAAAAAAAAAAAAAAAAGACAAAACACAA